rnacentral:rRNA from 1 species
GCAGCACGNCGCGUNGGUGAUGAAGGCCUUCGGGUCGUAAAGCCCUGUCAGUGGGAAGAAAGGCUGGAGNGGAAAGGUUUCAGGUUUGACGGUACCCACCAGAGGAAGCACCGGCUAACUCCGUGCCAGCAGCCGCGGUAAUACGGAGGGGGCGAGCGUUUUUCGGAAUUACUGGGCGUAAAGCGCGUGUAGGCGGGGGGGCAAGUCUGAUGUGAAAGCCCUGGGCUUAACCUGGGAAGCCCAUUGGAAACUGUUUUUCUUGAGUACGGGAGAGGAAGGGGGAAUUCCCGGUGUAGAGGUGAAAUUCGUAGAGAUCGGGAGGAAUACCAGUGGCGUAGGCGCCCUUCUGGACGGUAACUGACGCUAAGACGCGAAAGCGA